GGACGCUUAGCUCAGCUGGUUAGAGCGCCUCGUUUACACCGAGGAGGCCGGGGGUUCGAUCCCCUCAGCGUCCACCA
rnacentral:tRNA from 1 species